rnacentral:rRNA from 1 species
ACAACCAGGAUGUUGGCUUAGAAGCAGCCACCAUUGAAAGAGUGCGUAAUAGCUCACUGGUCGAGUGACCCCGCGCCGAAAAUGUACCGGGGCUAAACAUAUUACCGAAACUGUGGAUGAACCUCUUCGGAGGUUCGUGGUAGGAGAGCGUUCUAAGGGCGGUGAAGUCAGACCGGAAGGACUGGUGGAGCGCUUAGAAGUGAGAAUGCCGGUAUGAGUAGCGAAAGAAGGGUGAGAAUCCCUUCCACCGAAUAUCUAAGGUUUCCUGAGGAAGGCUCGUCCGCUCAGGGUUAGUCGGGACCUAAGCUGAGGCCGAUAGGCGUAGGCGAUGGACAACAGGUAGAUAUUCCUGUACCAGUGCGAGUUGUUUGAGCAAUGGGGUGACACAGAAGGAUAGGGAAUCGCACAGAUGGAAACGUGCGUCCAAGCAGUGAGUGUGAGAAGUAGGCAAAUCCGCUUCUCGCGAAGCAUGAGCUGUGAUGGGGAAGGAAAUUUAGUACGGAAGUUCCUGAUUUCACGCUGUCAAGAAAAGCCUCUAGUUAGACUCGUACUGCCCGUACCGCAAACCGACACAGGUAGAUGAGGAGAGAAUCCUAAGGUGAGCGAGAGAACUCUCGUUAAGGAACUCGGCAAAAUGACCCCGUAACUUCGGGAGAAGGGGUGCUCUAUUAGGG